GAGGGAGGGCGCACCGAGAGAGGGAGGGCGCGGAGAAAGGAGGGAGCUAAGAAGGGAGGGAGGGCAUCGAGGAGGGAGGGCGCGCCGAAGGAGGGAGGACGCAGAGAAAGGAGGGAGUAAGGAGGGAGGGAGGGCGCAGAGGAAGGAGGGCGAGGGUGUGAGGCCGCGGGGAGACUGGGGUUGGCCUGGAGGCCUCCCUGGCCUGGAGAGAGACGGCCGGGGUGCGGGAGGCUGGAUCGGGUGAGGGCAAACCCAGGGCAAGCGCUGCCUGUGAAUGGCUCCAAGAUGAGUAUGCCCAACGUUGCCUCUAGCACUGAUCCCACGCUCUCCUGGAAACAAUAACCAAGAAAGGCUUCUUUGCUGUCCCCGCGCGGUUAAAAAAAAAAAAAGUAUCCUUUUCUCUCUACAGAAACUCAAGAACAGGAAUAGAAGUCCAUCCUUCCAAUAUCCUCCCAUGCCCUCAUGGCAGUCAGGUGACCUAAAUUGACGAGCCUUUUCUCUGCCCCAGGCCGGCCUAUGCGCCCCAAACUGCUCCCUUAGCUCUUCCUCCUUUGCAUACCCUCUCUUAGCCUUGGAUAACUUCUCAGUUUCCGUUCUUGCUGAAGGCGCCAGGCAUCCUGUCUCCAGAGGAAACCCCUUCAAGCCUUUAACCCUGAUGCCGUGGGCUCUAGAAUUGCCUGGACUGCAAACAGUGCAGAAACCACCCUGCAGGACUGUCCAUUUCAGGAGUCAGCACAGUGUUACCCAGUUCCUAGCUUGAGCACCCUGGGGCUACAAGGAAAGUAUUAGAUCCAGUCCCCCUUCCCCCGGAAGCUUGCUAUCUAGUUGCAGAGAAGGGGUGGCGGGUGUUGUGCUGGACUCCCAUCAAGAAACAGGCGGCACAGGAUGUGACUAAGUGUAAGUAAGAUGUGAAUAACUGACAGUAAGUGCCCAGGGUUUUAACGGAGUUUAAAGUCAUCGUCAGGGGAAGCUGGAGGUCUCAUGUGUUGGGACUCUCCAAUUCACAACAAAACGAAGAGGUGGCCUCCAGCUUCUUCCAUUCCGGCUGUUUCCAUCUGAAUUAUACCUUGCAUAGGUGGAAGCUCUUUGGCAGCUCACCAAAACCUAGUUUUAUUUGAAUGGUACCUUUGGCCUGACAGUCACCUAGUCACUCAACAAAUAUUUAUUACAUUUCAUGUCCUGGUCUGGAGCUAAGCUGGGAAUAGACAAUACAAUGACUAUGUCUCUGUGUUUGGCAAGGGAAAAAGAAGAAGGCAAAAGAAAAACUGCUCGGGGAGAAAGAACAACUGAAAUAUGUCUGGCAAGUUGAUUCAAGAAACAGUUGCCCGGCCUCCAAACCUGGAUAAGUCUUCACCAAACUAGGUACAAAGACAAGUUCUUGCUAAAGGAGGAUACAAUUGUCCAUUGUGCUGGAGAGUGAUCUCAUGGUGCUACGUGUGGCCCUGUUCUGGUGAAGAGUGGCAGACGUCACCCUUUCUGAGGUAGACUGAGAAGUGUAAGGAAGAAGACCCAGGGGGACACACUGGAAUGCGCUACAAGUGUAGGCUUGUGAAACAAGCAUUGUGAAACAACUCACUUGUCCUUCCCGGAGAAUGUUCCUCAGUAGUGGCAGAUGCUCUGGAGUGAGAUCUCGAAGUGAUCUGAUACCCCGGCGAUGGCAGAUGGCGAUCAAAUACAGGUCAUCAAGCUGUGCAGAGACCACAGGACAAAACAAGACAAUGCUAGUUUUAGCAAGGAGGCUACCAGCCAGGGCACUCCUACCCCCCAAGGCCAAUCCAGAAGACCCUACAGCAGAGCCAAUGAGCGGGUACCCGAGGUAUGUCUGCCCUGGAUGUCAAGGGAUAGCUGAAGAACAAGAUUUCUGUGUAUUCUUUGGAACUAGGUGUGGUGGUACACGCCUGUAAUCCCAGCACUCAAGCAGAAGGACUGAGGGUUCAAAGUCUCUCUGGGCUAUACAGCAAGACCCUUUCAAAAAAGAAAUUGAGAAAGGAAGAAAAACUAUAAAACAAAAAUUUCCAUCUGGGAAUGUUUACAUAAACUAAGGAGUUGACAGGAAGAGACGGGCAAGUUCUGAAAGCCAAGCACAAAAGUCUUUGUCCUGAAGAAUUUACAACUUCACUUAAGUGCAUGUCGUUCUCCUGUAUGAAAUAAAUGUUGCAUAAAAGCA
rnacentral:lncRNA from 1 species